rnacentral:lncRNA from 1 species
GGGGGAGCUGGGGGAGCUGGGGGAGCUGGGGGAGCUGCUCUGCUGAGGCCUGGGGCGCUCGGGUGCAGAACGGGGCCUGGGCCUCCUGGUGCCACCCGGCUGUGGGGUGGAAGGCCGGCAGCUCCUCCACUUGGCACCUUUCCCUCAACGAGGUUUUAUUUCAAAAUAAAGCCAAGUGCCCCGUGAGCAGGACUGGCAGGGCCUGAUGAUUAGGGCUCGUGGGCAGCAAUGGCAUGUUUCCAGGGUCAGCCUGGGCCCUCGUGGGGCUGGCGAGGUGGGCGGGUGGCUGUCGUGCCCUCAGAAGCCUCUCAGCUGCUUCCCAGAGCCACCACCAGAGCUAAAGGGAAACUGAGGAAAAAGGAGAUGACCUUACAGGUGGAUCAGAGAAUCAUUAAGAGGGGCAUAAAUCAUAUAAUCAUUAAGGCAGACCCUGGUGUCCCAGGCCGGCAGGAUGGGCUGCUCGGGCCAUGGGGCACCGGCUGGGAAGGAGCCACCGGGCACAGCUUGGGUUCGAGUGGCCAGCCCGCAGCCCUCGCUCGGUGACGAGCCCAGGGAAGCAGAAAGGACAUGCUUCAGGUGGGAGCUUUCCCCGUGUGGGCUGCCCUGGGAUCUGCGCUGCGUGAGGCAGCCUUCUGAACUCCAUUGCUGGAGCCUUGAUCCUACAGAGCCUCAGGAAGGACACCAGGGCACACGCUGUAUCUGGGGAAUCUGCACAGGGAGGUCUGAAGACAGCACCAGGAGCUGCCGUGCUCAGAGCAGCCUCUUGCAGGACUGCGAACACCCAGCACAAGUCCUCCCCAUGCCCAGGACACCAACUGCAGCCGGAGCGGUGAGGAUUCUCGUGUCCAGCCCACCUGCAGCUGGCACUGGUGUCCCCAUGCCCCAGACUCCAGCAGGAGCCCUGCCCAGCUGCCCAGCAUCAAGUCGUCCCAUGCCAGAGGGCUCGCAGCUGGCUCUUGUGAGCCACCUCCCUGAGCACACUGCAGCCUCUUUAAGUAGUCUGCGGUGGCAGGGUGAGCUGGUUUGUGAAAUAUUUUAA